rnacentral:rRNA from 1 species
CCACUGGGAUACCCUGAUCCAACAUCGAGGUCGUAAACCCACCUGUCGAUAGGGGCUCUUAAGGCGGAUUGCGCUGUUAUCCCUAGGGUAACUUGGUUCGUUGCUCAAAAUAUUGGGUCAAUUUGUGUCAGUUUAUUGGUGCUUAAAGUUGUGUCUUUUGGCUCAAGAGUAGCUCUGUUCAUCGUGGAGGUUAAUUUUUGCUCCGUGGUCACCCCAACCUAAAACUAUUAGUCAAGAGGCUAGAAUAAGUGUAAAGACUCUGAAGUAGACAUAGAUAAAAGCCAGUGCUAAAUAGUUUGAAGCUCCAUAGGGUCUUCUCGUCUUAUAUACAUAUCCCCGCUUCUUCACGGGGAGAUUAGUUUCAUUGAUUAGAAAAAGGAGACAGUGUAACCCUCGUGAUGCCAUUCAUACUAGUCCUCAUUUAAAGAACAAGUGAUUACGCUACCUUCGCACGGUUAGGAUACCGCGGCCGUUGAACUAAGUCACUGGGCAGGCUAGACCUCUUAUAUUAUGCAAGAGGCGGUGUUUUUGGUAAACAGGCGAGGUUAAUAUUUGCCGAGUUCCUUCUUUUUCUUUUAAUCUUUCUUGAAAUGUGCUGGUGUUAGAUUAACAUUAGGGGUAACAGAGUUUUCUAGUGGAGUUGCUGUUUCAGGGCCAUAGGUGUUUAACUAUCAGUGGUAUGUCCUUUCUGAUUUACACUUACAUUUAAGAGAAGGGCUUUCUUCUUAUUACUAGUUUCAACAUAAGGGCUUCUAUAAUAUUAUAGAAUAACUUAAUACAAAUAAAGGG